CCCCCAGGGCAGGAGAGAGUUCAUGGUGAGGCUUCUUGGAGCUGGUCAAGGUACAGGACCCGUAAGUGAUAUUGGGGCUGUUUGGUUUGUUUUUUGUUUUUGUUUUUUUCUUCUCCUCCAUAGCUUUUAAAGGCCACAAUGAACAUGCAGCCUAACUUAUGUGA